AGGUUCUUGACUGGAACACAGUGAAGAGUUCCUGAAGCCAGCAGAUGCAUCCUGCGAUUCUGCAGAGAUACAUGAGCGGAGCUCUGAUCUAAAAAUAACGUCAGCAGCGCAGACCUUUCAUUUCCCUCUGACAUCUGAAUGUGAGCAGAGGUCCAGCGAUGAUGCAGCGGUGAAACCUCAUCUGGAUUCCAUUAAGCAGGUUGUUACAAGAAGGAAAAAGUCGAUCAACGAAAUGCCUGAUUCAAAAACAAUUCUGAGAAGAAGUGGUUCCUCUUGCAAAGACAACAACAGCUUGCUGCCAAUUCUGGUUUGAGGAUGACAUCAUGACAUGGGCGGCGCCCACAAGGAGCAAAAGGCGGAG